rnacentral:misc_RNA from 1 species
CUCUUACUAUUGAUCAUUUUUCUUUCAAUUUUUUUGUUCAUUGAAAUCAGGUGAUGAGAAAAAAACUGCAACAAUAUGAUGGUAAAUUCCAUGAUUCGUAGUAUUUAAGUCUCUGAUGAUUUCUCUCCCUCUCUAUAGAUAUAUGUAAUAGAAUUUGGUUUGGUGCUUAUUAAUUUCUGGAAUGUUGAUGUUUUAGUUAUGGUAUUUGGGAGAUAUGAUGAACGAAAUUGGUCCGUGUUUCUGAUUGAACAGUGACAGAUAACACCUUUCUUUUUUACUCUACUGAUCUCCCAAUUAUAUUUUUAUGUUUAAUUGCCACAUUUGUGAAAUAGCUCAAUGAUUGUAUGCCUUUUGGCAAUAUACGCUAUACCGAUCUAAAACAUGAGUAUGAUAAUAUUUUUCAAGUAUGAGAGCUAUAUGUGAAACUGUUUUAAUGUGAUUUUUUUUGAAAAUUAUG